UGGGCACCAAGAAGUCUCAGGCACGGAUAAUGAUUCACUUGUUGAGAAGCACCGUAAGUUAAGGGAGCAAGAGGAAAAAGACACCAAGGUUGCAAUGAUGUAUCAAACACUGUAUGAUCAAAAUGCUACUGAAGCUCAGAUCACCAAUGUGCCAGCAAACAGAAUUCUUGCUCAGGCGGCAAAACCUGCAGGUCGGGAAAGAAGCCCCAUGGAGGGUGGGCGUAGAGGACGGGGGUGCGUUGGUGGUGCCUCCAGGGCAGGGAACAUGAAUUCCAUGAAGUGGUCUUGGAGGCGGAAAGGGAAGAAGUCGGAAACGGGAUCCAAGGGGCAGAGGAGAGUGAGGUUCUCGAACACUGUGGAGACGAUAUGCCCAUCGAAAUCCUGAGUGAAGACAGUUCUAGUGAUGAUGGAAUGCAGCAAGCGAAGAUGAUCACGAGCCUGCACAUCUACCUGGUAGCAACGUAGAUGGUUUGGAUACAUUAGUUGCAAAUGACAUCGUGGCGGCGAGGUCAAAGGAGGGUGGAAGAACCACCGUCAGCCAUGUCAGGAGUGCAGCACGCGGUGGAGUUGACGCUGCUCCGCACGGACAUGGGACUCACAAAGGCCCUGGGACCAGCCGAUAUCGGGAGUAGCCCAUGUGGGAGAAUUGAGCGUCGCGAGAGCGAACCUGGAUACACAUUUCAGUGGUUCAUCAGGUUAGUGCAAGCCUGGAUGGUCGACAGUCAUGCAUUUGUAGCAAAGAUGAUGUUGGAAAUGUUGAAGGUGCACAUAAUUUUCCAAAAAAUGAAUAAUUCGGCAUGGCGGGGAGGGUGGCAGUCCUCCGGUUAAGAUUCGGUGGUAUAGCCUUUGAUUAGUCGGCGCAUUUCAUCAGCAAUAUCAAUGUGAUGCUGAUAAGCACCUAAAAUUCCUGAUUAGGAUUAUGAUGAUUCUUUAUAGUUCUCUCAGCAAAAGAGUACAUUUCCCAUACUGUUGCUUCUGGGUUGAUCUGCUAGAAUAGUGGUAGCAAGCCAUCGCUUGAAUUCAUCAAAGGACUCAGUAACUUCUACGGCAUGCUUAGCAGAGAUAUGUGAUGUUGGUGCUGGGGGGUCUCCGGUGUGUUCUGAUGUAUGGCUACGUGUGGGUACGUCCUCAGCAGCCGUCUCCCCCAGUAAGGAAUAAGGACAGUAAGAUUGACCAGUCAUAGAAAGCAUGAAAAAUCUUGAAAAUGUAACUGUGACUCGUAGGACUGGUCAAAUAAAGAUUCCUGUGAAAUGUUUGGAAAAAUACUGAUGUCAACAACUUCCUUUGUGCACAGUUAUGCAGUAAUGCUGGAUAUAAUCACAUCUGCUGGCUUACAUGCAAAAAGGUUUGUAGUUAAAAAUCCUUAAUUUACAACAGUCCUUGGUUGACGUUUGAGCAGAUGUUGGCAGAGCAAUUUGGUCAUCUAAUACAUGAGCACAUAAUAAUUCUUGUUAAUAAAUCAAUCAGAUCUAGCGGUACUAAUAGAUGGUAGAGCAUGAUAUCUUACUUCUGAUGAGAAUAUAAUUAGAUAUG